UACGUAGGGCGCAAGCGUAUCCGGAAUUAUUGGGCGUAAAGAGCUCGUAGGCGGUUUGUCGCGUCUGCUGUGAAAGACCGGGGCUCAACUCCGGUCUGCAGUGGGUACGGGCAGACUAGAGUGAUGUAGGGGAGACUGGAAUUCCUGGUGUAGCGGUGAAAUGCGCAGAUAUCAGGAGGAACACCGAUGGCGAAGGCAGGUCUCUGGGCACUUACUGACGUGAGGAGCGAAAGCGUGGGGAGCGAACAGG
rnacentral:rRNA from 1 species